AACUAAUCAUCGCCCACCACCCUCCAACGAUCACCAACCAAAACCCCUCCACACGCCCGCCCGCGCGCGCCACGGACGCAGCAAUGGCCGCCCUCGCCGCCUCCAUCGCCACCUCCACGGCGUUCGCCGCGAAGCCGCGCCUGUCCCGCCCGCCGGCGCGCCUCUCCGUCUCCUGCUCCGCGUCCAGCGGCGACAACAACAACAGCACCGCCACCCCCUCGCUCUCCGCCUCCAUCAAGACCUUCUCGGCCGCGCUGGCGCUCUCCUCCGUGCUCCUCUCCUCCGCCGCCACCUCCCCGCCCCCCGCGGCUGCCGACAUCGCCGGCCUGACCCCGUGCAAGGAGUCCAAGGCCUUCGCCAAGCGGGAGAAGCAGUCGGUCAAGAAGCUCAACUCGUCGCUCAAGAAGUACGCGCCCGACUCCGCCCCGGCGCUCGCCAUCCAGGCCAC
rnacentral:lncRNA from 1 species